ACGGAAGGCAGCAGUGGGGGAUAUUGCACAAUGGGGGAAACCCUGAUGCAGCGACGCCGCGUGAGUGAAGAAGUAUUCCGGUAUGUAAAGCUCUUUAAGCUGAAAAGAUAAUGACGGUACCAGCAGAAUAAGCCCCGGCUAACUACGUGCCAGCAGCCGCGGUAAUACGUAGGGGGCAAGCGUUAUCCGGAUUUACUGGGUGUAAAGGGCGUGUAGGCGGGACUACAAGUCAGAUGUGAAAGCACGAGGCUCAACUUCGUGUCUGCAUUUGAAACUGUAGUUCUUGAGUGUUGGAGAGGCUAACGGAACUCCUAGUGUAGCGGUGAAAUGCGUAGAUAUUAGGAAGAACACCAGUGGCGAAGGCGGUUAGCUGGACAAUAACUGACGCUGAGGCGCGAAAGCGUGGGUAGCAAACAGGAUUAGAUACCCUGGUA
rnacentral:rRNA from 1 species